rnacentral:tRNA from 1 species
UGGGGUGUAGCUCAGUGGUAGAGUUGUGCUUAACAUGCACGAGGCUCUGGUUCCACCCCCUGCCGCCUUCC